rnacentral:rRNA from 1 species
AUGCCCACCGCUAGCGCCUCCAUGGCCGCCGCCGCCUCCUGCCGGAGCCCGCUCGUCUGGUUCUUCUCCCUCGCCGCCGCGCUCUUCUUCGCUUCCUGGUACCUCCUCCUCGACUCCGCCGCCGCCCCGGCCGCGCUCGAUGCCCGCCGCCAGGGCCUCCGCCCGGCCUCUCCAGGCAGAAAAUGCGAUCCGGAUAAGGCGCUGCUGCGCGUCUACAUGUACGACCUGCCCCUUGAGUACCCCGGAGGGCUCAACCUGCAGCACAGCAUCGAGUACUGGCUCACGCUGGACCUCCUCGCCUCCGAGCAGGGCGCGCCCACGCCGUGCAACGCCGUCCGGGUGCGCGACCCCGCCAGGGCCGACGUCGUCUUCGUGCCCUUCUUCGCCUCCCUCAGCUUCAACCGCCACUCCAAGGUCGUGCCGCCCGCGCGGACCAGCGAGGACCGGGCGCUGCAGCGGAGGCUGAUCGAGUUCCUCGCCGCGCGGCCCGAGUGGCGGAGGUCCGGCGGAAGGGACCACGUCGUGCUCGCGCACCACCCCAACGGGAUGCUCGACGCGCGCUACAAGCUCUGGCCCUGCGUCUUCGUGCUCUGCGACUUCGGGAGGUACCCACACAGCGUGGCCAACAUCGACAAGGACGUCAUCGCCCCGUACCGCCAUGUCGUCGACAACUUCUUCAAUGACUCCACCGGCUACCACGACCGGCCGACCUUACUCUACUUCCAAGGCGCCAUUUACAGGAAAGAUGGUGGUUUCAUCCGACAGGAACUUUACUAUCUUCUCAAAGAUGAGAAAGAUGUGCACUUCUCAUUUGGAAGUGUGGCUGGUAAUGGGAUUGAGGAAUCGACACGGGGUAUGAGGGCAUCCAAAUUCUGCCUCAACAUUGCAGGGGAUACGCCAUCCUCCAACCGUCUAUUCGAUUCCAUAGUCAGUCACUGUGUGCCCGUCAUUAUCAGCGAUGAGAUUGAACUCCCAUUUGAAGAUAUCCUUGACUACUCCAAGUUCUGCAUCAUAGUGCGUGGUGCAGAUGCUGUCAAGAAGGGCUUUCUGAUAAAUCUGAUCAAAGGGGUAAGCCCAGAAGAGUGGACAAGCAUGUGGAACAAACUGAGGGAGGUAGAAGGGCACUUUGAAUACCAGUACCCAUCUCAGCCUGACGAUGCUGUCCAGAUGAUCUGGAAGACCAUAGCUCGAAAGGUGCCCUCAAUUCGGCUGAAGGUCAACAGAUUACAAAGAUUUUCUCGGUCUGAAGCUAACAAAACAAACGAUUCUCCAGCAAGAUCUUCCUGGCUAGAAAAUCAAACUCUCCCAGCUGGUUUUCAGUCCUCUGCGAGAGGAGAGUGCCCAUAG